GACAAAUAGGAGACAAACAAGCUUGCCUUGAUUGUUACAGGGCAAAAGGGUAUUCUCCCUCUGGAGAGAUCGCUGGAUGAAGAAUGAUGAUGCUUGGGAGCAUAUCUGCAAGUCCUCCUGGAAUUUCACUGCAUCAAAAUCUUUGGAAGGGGCCAAACAGAUCUAAGUUGAAUUACAAUACCAGUGGACACUAAGGAGUCGAUACUAUGUUUGGCUCUAACUGGCAGGGACCACCUGCAAUCCAGUGCACAAUUGGCAGGUCACCAUUAGACUGCAGUCUGUCCUACUGCUUCCUGCCCAGAAACAAUGUCCUAGUCCGCUUUAAGUCAGCAACACGCUCCGGCGAUCAGUUAUCACGUGGUUGUCAGAAAGUGACAGAACGUAGCCGCUCUAGCUUUUCUUAUUGAAAUUUCCGUUCAAGAAACCAAGAGAGCCAAGGAAAAACAGAAUCACUAACAGCUACAGCAACAAUAACAAACGCCCUCAAUCCCUCCCAAAAGCACAGGUUUCACCGUCCGCUAGGCUGCCUCAUCAGGAAUUCAGAAUUUCGUUUUAGAAGUGCUUCUCUCACACAAUUGAUCCAACCAGUUUGGAGAGGAUACUAGUCUCCAGCGGGUUUUUUUUUUUUUUUUUUAAUCUUUUGGGAACAGUAGGGGAAGGUUUGUAGUGGACCCGUUCUUUAAAAGUGGAGAAAAGUUCCAGUUUCGCGGCAUAACUACCUUCCCAUGGCCCCUUCCCCAUCCGAGCCUCAGAACAAUGGCGUUAAUGUUAGGCAGCGUGGGUGGUGGCAGCAAACGAGAGUGAGCAAGCAUUCAUUACUCACCCAGGAUGCCAGCUGCCCGGCUGCUGUUACUAAGACACGUCCACGCGAGGUACCAAGCGGGGCCAGGCUAUCCUCAGGAAGUGCAGUAGAAUUCAGGAGCUGACCUCACCGGGACUGACUGAAGAGGGAAUCACAGACUGAAGAGAUAAAGAAGAAAGGAGCAAGCAAAGCAAAGAAGGAGGAAAAAAAAAAAAAACCGCUUCAGCUAGGCACCGCGUCUAAAGAAGCCACGCCCAAAGCUGGACCAGCAAGAUCCACUCCCAGCGCCCAGUCCUCAUCUACUUGCACGUGGCCAGAGAUAACAAAGCCAAUAGAAAAAAAAGAGGGCUUUGCUCAUCGCUCUCGAUGUGGAUGGAGGCAAGAUUUUCUCUUUGGUUUAGCCCGCCCCAGGAGGCUCGAUCUUCUGGAUCAAUUAUUUAUUUGCACUUUCAUAGGAAGGCUGACUUGAACUGCUAGUAGAGCUGUGACGUCUCCUGAUGCGGCGACACAGUGCUUGCUAGCAGCAGGGGGUGAGGGGUGGGGGGAGUUUUCUUUGUUUGCUCACUUUAAUUUCCAUCCGAGCUUUUUACACUGUGUUCUCCUCUAACCGGACAAUUUCCCCAAGGCGAUAAUGGUUAGCCUUAUCCUACUGUCCCACAGACCAAGGAUUUCUACGAAGUCACUUAGAAGUAAGGAAUGAAAAAAAUCAAGAAUAUAUCCAUAAAGGAAAUCAUUUCCCGUUGGGUGUGCCCUUUUACAUUUCUUUGUCUCCUCGUUUCUUAAAUGCCCCCCGUAUCCCCCCCCCCCCUAACUCCCCGCCUCUGCCCCACCCUUCUCUUCUGACGCUAGGGACAGCAGCUUAGAAAGGCAUCUUUUUCAAGAUCUAUAGCUUGAUUUUAAUAUUGGAAAGAAGGAUAAAAAAAAAUUACACAUCAAGCUAAGAAAAAAAGGGGGGGGUUAAGACAGCACAGGACCUUUUCUUUGAGUAUUGAUAAAAAUAAAUGUAGUUACAAAACAAUUUA